AUUGAACGCUGGCGGCAUGCUUUACACAUGCAAGUCGAACGGUAACAGGCCGCAAGGUGCUGACGAGUGGCGCACGGGUGAGUAAUGCAUCGGAACGCGCCCAGUCGUGGGGGAUAACUACUCGAAAGAGUAGCUAAUACCGCAUACGAUCUACGGCUGAAAGCGGGGGACCGUAAGGCCUCGCGCGAUUGGAGCGGCCGAUGUCAGAUUAGGUAGGUGGUGGGGUAAAGGCUCACCAAGCCAACGAUCUGUAGCUGGUCUGAGAGGACGACCAGCCACACUGGGACUGAGACACGGCCCAGACUCCCACGGGAGGCAGCAGUGGGGAAUUUUGGACAAUGGGCGCAAGCCUGAUCCAGCAAUGCCGCGUGCAGGAAGAAGGCCUUCGGGUUGUAAACUGCUUUUGUACGGAACGAAACGGCUCUGGUUAAUACCCGGGGCUAAUGACGGUACCGUAAGAAUAAGCACCGGCUAACUACGUG
rnacentral:rRNA from 1 species